UACGUAUGGAGCAAGCGUUAUCCGGAUUUACUGGGCGUAAAGGGAGCGUAGGCGGCCUGCCAAGUCUGGAGUGAAAUCCCAUGGCUUAACCAUGGAACUGCUUUGGAAACUGUGCAGCUGGAGUGCAGGAGAGGUAAGCGGAAUUCCUAGUGUAGCGGUGAAAUGCGUAGAUAUUAGGAGGAACACCAGUGGCGAAGGCGGCUUACUGGACUGUAACUGACGUUGAGGCUCGAAAGCGUGGGGAGCAAACAGG
rnacentral:rRNA from 1 species